UUUAAUAGAGUUGCAAAUGUAACAUUUACGUAUAUUGUACUUAACUAUAUUAUAUGUUAAUAUAAUAUAUAAACAAUAAUUAUUUAAAUACAAUCAUUUUUGUUUAAUAAUACUAAUCACAAUAUUUGAGAUGAUGACCGUUAUGAACACAAUUUUCAACGUUCACGACUCACGAUGGCAAAAUUUAAGAAUUUGAGUGACGUAUAAAGAGCAAAAGCACAGACCACUAAAACAUUGGAAAGACUCAACACAUUAAACGAAUUUCAUAAUUCACUGAUUCGGCUAUUAAAUAAACAUAAUACGACCUAUGUUGACUCGAAACCCGGUGGGUUAACGUAAUGAACAAGAAUUUGUCAAUGGUAGACCAGAAAGCAACCUUCUGGACAACGUAUC